rfam:Picrophilus torridus DSM 9790, complete genome.
GACGACGACCAUAACAUCGGGGAAAUACCAGGUCCCAUUCCGAACCCGACGGUGAAGCCCGAUGUGUUUCAUGUGGUACUGUCUUCCGCGAGGGGAUGGGAAGCAUGAUUCGUUGUCGUUA